GGAAGGAGAAGAGAAGAUAACAAAUUAUGGUUAUGGUCUAUCUUUUUCACUUUAUGUAUAUUUAAAGAAAGAAAGUAAGUAGCGAAGAGGAAUCCAUGUAGUCCAAGCACUCCCAGACAAAGGCACUUCUGAAGAGAAAAAGCAGCAUUUGCUUUACUGACCCGGAAAAAGAAGAGAGAAUUCAAAACCCACCAUAAACAAUGAGGCUCUUGGGAAAUUGCAUGGUUACUGCUACUCCAUCUCUCUCCCUCUCUCUCUCCUUAGAAACAUUCUUUCUAUUCUCUCUCUUGUCUAUAUUUAGUGGGGAGACUAUGGGGUGCAACUCGAACCCCACAUCCUCCUUCAUUCCCUCUACAACAAUUUGUGACAACCCCACCAAGAUUACCCAAAUCAUAGUCUUAGAGCUAAUCUGCUUCCCUUGGUUGUCCCUCUUUGCCCAUGCCGUUUCAUCUUGUUCAUUCUCACUCUCAACUUUGUGGGGCUUCUCUAUUAUAUAUACACACCUAGGUUUCUCAUUUUUAUAAACACCCUAGCCUAAUCUCUCCCAAUCUCUCCAGCUUCUUUCACAUCUCUUCCAAUCUCUCUCUCUCCAGAUUCUCUCCCAAUCUCUCCAGCUUCUUUCACAUCUCUCUCUCUCUCUCUCUCUCUCUCUCUUUCUCUUCCUCCCUAAAUUGAGCUAUCCCUUUCAUCCUCUUUCUUCAUCUCGCUGAAAGUAACAUCCCCCAGUAAGUUUUCAGAAAACCUAGCUAUACUUAUUCUCUGAUGAAUAGUAUGUUGAUGAGCUAUGAGGGUGAGAUUUGGAGAAUGCAUAUAGGGUGAAGAUUAAACCCUAUCUGCAACUGGUAGCUAGUUAUAUUUUGUAGUCACAAGCCAAGCAAAAGAUUUUGUGCUUGAUGAUAUUAAAUGGUGACUGCAUGUGUCCUUUUCUUUGCUUGUUUAUAGCAAUGGAGCUUAGUUAUUUGAUGUUGUCAUGAGGGGUAGCAUUGGAAAGAAAUGCAGGUUGUGUAGAGUGUGAAGCCUCCUUGAUAUUGUUUGAUUAAGCUAUCUAGCUAGCUAGACUAUCUUUGUAAUGUCUCACAAAUAAGAAUGCAAUUAUUGAUUGCUUGGCUAUCUCUGUCACAUACAUAUUGUUCACACCGGCCUUGUUUUAUAUCUGUGAAUCUUGGUAAUCUCUGUGAGCAACAGAUUAGUUAUUGUAUGAGUUUGAACCAGAAGUUGAUCUGCAAUUAAACCUACAUUUGUGAUGGUUAACAUUAUUUUAUGAUAAUUAUGGAGUAUAAUGAACAUUCACAAGGGUUUAUAUCUUGAUGUAUGAGCUUAUUGUCAACUUUAGGCUUGUAAAUUGGAGUUUUGUUAAUGUACAAGUUCUGAAAUGAUUAUAGCCUUUUAUAGAGUUAUAGCCUAUAGGGAUAGCCAUUUGCCUCUGUCCUUUUCUUCAAGAAGGAGCAGUGCAAAAAGUUUACCUAUAAUUAGGUUGUCCUUUAAGAACAUUAGUUCAUGUUAAUUAUGUAUUUGAAAAACCAAAUCACAGAGGUUUGUUCGAAUUUAAUUAUUGUUUAAAGAAAAAUUGUCUGCUGCAGCCUGCAUGAUAGAGUUCGAAUUUGAAUUCUAUCACAGAAGCUCUAAUACUUCUUGAGUUUAAGGUUAUAAAUCUCUAUAAAUUUCAAGGUGUCUGAAAGCAUUUAUUUAUACAUCUUUAAUAUUAAUUUAUACAUGUUUAAAAGAGGGUACGUACUUAACAUUACCGUACUGGAAUUAAUAUAGACUUACUCGAAAAUAAAUAAAUUAGGGUGUAUUCUUUCCGUAUAAUUCAUUACCCUUUCCGUGAAGAUGUUUGUUUUAUAUGAUAAGUGAUGUCAAUAUUUAAGCCUUAUUUGUUCAUCUAACAGUGAUCUGUGUUUUUAUUGAAGAAAAAUCUUAGUGACAGCUGAUUUCACAGUAUUAUUACGUAUGAACAUGGUUCUAAAAAUUCCUGAUUAUAUCACAAUUUAUAUUUUAAUAAAUAUUUUACUGAUCAUGUUCUUAUUUGAUUAAAGAAAUUUGAUUUAUCCAAAAACAUUUCAAUAUAUUUUCUGUAAAUCCUGAAUUUAUAGAUAUAGGCCCUGUUUGAGGAUUAGCAGUUAGCUGUUAGCGGAUUGAAUUAGAUGUUUUGACUAGCAAUUUAAUUAGCUGUUUUUCGUAAAACUGUUUGGUAAAUAGCUGAUUGAUUAUCUUUUUCUGAAAAAAAUCAAAACCUCUAACCCAAAAAGCUCCUUAAAGUAGCUUUUUUAAAAUUAGCGUUUUGGGUCCAAACCUCUAUUUCAAUCAGCUAACUAUCAAACACUUAUAUAGUUAUAUUAACGGAUUCUAGCGGUCAAACCUCCAAACCACCCCAAACUUCUAAUUUUGCUCCAAACCUCUAACUUUCAAACAGGACCAUAGUUAAAUUGAUGUAAUAAUUAAUAUAUAGGUUUAUCAUGCUACCAGUAGCUAUAUGUAUUGACAUAAAGAAAGAAACUGAAUCAGCUGUUCAUAGCAUCAUCUGGUAUAUAUAGGUAUAGCUUUAGACUUUAAAGUACUCUUCAUAAUGCAAUUAUCUAACUCUGAAUGACAUAAAUUAGCCAAGUCACCAAAUAAUUAGAGCAUCUCCAAAAGACUCUUUAUUUAGGAUCCUAACUUGAGAUUUGAGGAGGGAGGGGAAAAAUGUUGCUCCAAGAGACUCUUAAGUGGCUUAAGAGCCUCUUGUUUCUCUCUCCUCUCUCCUCAAAGUUAAGAGCCACCACAUGGCUCCUAACUUAUUUUUUUACAAUAAAAAAAUCUUUCCCUCCAAUUCAUCUCCAUCUUUCACUCUCUUUUGUUGUAGUGGAGCCCAAUAUAUGAAUAAAAUAUUAAAUAGAGAAGAGAUGUAGAGAGUAUUGUUGGAGUUUACACUCUUAACUUUGUUCUAAAUUGCUAAGAGCCACAUUUUUUAUAUUAUAUUUAGGAGCCAACAAGGAGGCUCUUGGAGAUGCUCUGUACAUUUUAAGAAAAAGCUAAAAAAAGAUAAUUAUGUAUGGAACACUAUUUAAAUCUGGGGAGAAAAGAAGAGAGAGUUUUGAGAAACCCUAAAACAGAAAGGAGGUGAUUGGGAAUAGGUAUUGAUUGUGAAAAAAGUAAAAGAAAAAGGCAGGAGGAGAAUAGUGUUUACAAGUGAUGAUGAUGAGGGGCAGGCUCUGCUUCUGCUGCAGAAUCUCACAUCUUGAAGAAAGACUGGACCACUUUAUAUAUUGUGAUAGGUCUAGGUGUAUAUAGUAGCCAUUUCUUGUGUGUGUAUAUGUCACUGGUUGGGUGGAAGAGAAUAUAGAAUACGGUCAAAUGUACGUCAAAUUAGCACAGUCAUGGAGAUGGAGUAUGUAAUAUGCUUGCUGCAUGGGUAUUCGUAAACUAUGUCUUAACCUACCUAUGUUCUGGGAC